rnacentral:rRNA from 1 species
GGGUUGUGAGGUUAAGCGACUAAGCGUACACGGUGGAUGCCCUGGCAGUCAGAGGCGAUGAAGGACGUGCUAAUCUGCGAUAAGCGUCGGUAAGGUGAUAUGAACCGUUAUAACCGGCGAUUUCCGAAUGGGGAAACCCAGUGUGAUUCGUCACACUAUCAUUAACUGAAUCCAUAGGUUAAUGAGGCGAACCGGGGGAACUGAAACAUCUAAGUACCCCGAGGAAAAGAAAUCAACCGAGAUUCCCCCAGUAGCGGCGAGCGAACGGGGAGCAGCCCAGAGCCUGAAUCAGUGUGUGUGUUAGUGGAAGCGUCUGGAAAGGCGCGCGAUACAGGGUGACAGCCCCGUACACAAAAAUGCACAUGCUGUGAGCUCGAUGAGUAGGGCGGGACACGUGGUAUCCUGUCUGAAUAUGGGGGGACCAUCCUCCAAGGCUAAAUACUCCUGACUGACCGAUAGUGAACCAGUACCGUGAGGGAAAGGCGAAAAGAACCCCGGCGAGGGGAGUGAAAAAGAACCUGAAACCGUGUACGUACAAGCAGUGGGAGCACGCUUAGGCGUGUGACUGCGUACCUUUUGUAUAAUGGGUCAGCGACUUAUAUUCUGUAGCAAGGUUAACCGAAUAGGGGAGCCGAAGGGAAACCGAGUCUUAACUGGGCGUUAAGUUGCAGGGUAUAGACCCGAAACCCGGUGAUCUAGCCAUGGGCAGGUUGAAGGUUGGGUAACACUAACUGGAGGACCGAACCGACUAAUGUUGAAAAAUUAGCGGAUGACUUGUGGCUGGGGGUGAAAGGCCAAUCAAACCGGGAGAUAGCUGGUUCUCCCCGAAAGCUAUUUAGGUAGCGCCUCGUGAAUUCAUCUCCGGGGGUAGAGCACUGUUUCGGCAAGGGGGUCAUCCCGACUUACCAACCCGAUGCAAACUGCGAAUACCGGAGAAUGUUAUCACGGGAGACACACGGCGGGUGCUAACGUCCGUCGUGAAGAGGGAAACAACCCAGACCGCCAGCUAAGGUCCCAAAGUCAUGGUUAAGUGGGAAACGAUGUGGGAAGGCCCAGACAGCCAGGAUGUUGGCUUAGAAGCAGCCAUCAUUUAAAGAAAGCGUAAUAGCUCACUGGUCGAGUCGGCCUGCGCGGAAGAUGUAACGGGGCUAAACCAUGCACCGAAGCUGCGGCAGCGACACUAUGUGUUGUUGGGUAGGGGAGCGUUCUGUAAGCCUGUGAAGGUGUACUGUGAGGUAUGCUGGAGGUAUCAGAAGUGCGAAUGCUGACAUAAGUAACGAUAAAGCGGGUGAAAAGCCCGCUCGCCGGAAGACCAAGGGUUCCUGUCCAACGUUAAUCGGGGCAGGGUGAGUCGACCCCUAAGGCGAGGCCGAAAGGCGUAGUCGAUGGGAAACAGGUUAAUAUUCCUGUACUUGGUGUUACUGCGAAGGGGGGACGGAGAAGGCUAUGUUGGCCGGGCGACGGUUGUCCCGGUUUAAGCGUGUAGGCUGGUUUUCCAGGCAAAUCCGGAAAAUCAAGGCUGAGGCGUGAUGACGAGGCACUACGGUGCUGAAGCAACAAAUGCCCUGCUUCCAGGAAAAGCCUCUAAGCAUCAGGUAACAUCAAAUCGUACCCCAAACCGACACAGGUGGUCAGGUAGAGAAUACCAAGGCGCUUGAGAGAACUCGGGUGAAGGAACUAGGCAAAAUGGUGCCGUAACUUCGGGAGAAGGCACGCUGAUAUGUAGGUGAAGUCCCUCGCGGAUGGAGCUGAAAUCAGUCGAAGAUACCAGCUGGCUGCAACUGUUUAUUAAAAACACAGCACUGUGCAAACACGAAAGUGGACGUAUACGGUGUGACGCCUGCCCGGUGCCGGAAGGUUAAUUGAUGGGGUCAGCGCAAGCGAAGCUCUUGAUCGAAGCCCCGGUAAACGGCGGCCGUAACUAUAACGGUCCUAAGGUAGCGAAAUUCCUUGUCGGGUAAGUUCCGACCUGCACGAAUGGCGUAAUGAUGGCCAGGCUGUCUCCACCCGAGACUCAGUGAAAUUGAACUCGCUGUGAAGAUGCAGUGUACCCGCGGCAAGACGGAAAGACCCCGUGAACCUUUACUAUAGCUUGACACUGAACAUUGAGCCUUGAUGUGUAGGAUAGGUGGGAGGCUUUGAAGUGUGGACGCCAGUCUGCAUGGAGCCGACCUUGAAAUACCACCCUUUAAUGUUUGAUGUUCUAACGUUGACCCGUGAUCCGGGUUGCGGACAGUGUCUGGUGGGUAGUUUGACUGGGGCGGUCUCCUCCUAAAGAGUAACGGAGGAGCACGAAGGUUGGCUAAUCCUGGUCGGACAUCAGGAGGUUAGUGCAAUGGCAUAAGCCAGCUUGACUGCGAGCGUGACGGCGCGAGCAGGUGCGAAAGCAGGUCAUAGUGAUCCGGUGGUUCUGAAUGGAAGGGCCAUCGCUCAACGGAUAAAAGGUACUCCGGGGAUAACAGGCUGAUACCGCCCAAGAGUUCAUAUCGACGGCGGUGUUUGGCACCUCGAUGUCGGCUCAUCACAUCCUGGGGCUGAAGUAGGUCCCAAGGGUAUGGCUGUUCGCCAUUUAAAGUGGUACGCGAGCUGGGUUUAGAACGUCGUGAGACAGUUCGGUCCCUAUCUGCCGUGGGCGCUGGAGAAUUGAGGGGGGCUGCUCCUAGUACGAGAGGACCGGAGUGGACGCAUCACUGGUGUUCGGGUUGUCAUGCCAAUGGCACUGCCCGGUAGCUAAAUGCGGAAGAGAUAAGUGCUGAAAGCAUCUAAGCACGAAACUUGCCCCGAGAUGAGUUCUCCCUGACCCUUUAAGGGUCCUGAAGGAACGUUGAAGACGACGACGUUGAUAGGCCGGGUGUGUAAGCGCAGCGAUGCGUUGAGCUAACCGGUACUAAUGAACCGUGAGGCUUAACCUUACAACGCCGAAGGUGUUU